UCGAAAAAAUUCAAACUAUUCCUUAAAAAAUUAACUAUACUUUUUCUAUUUUAAAAAAUAAAUAAAUAAAUAAAAAUAAAAAUAAAAUAUCAAGAUAUUAGAAACCAUUUGAUAUAUCGAUUAAAAUAAAUAUCUAUAAUAAUUUGAAAACAUAUCACCUAAAUAGAAAUAAAAUAUUAAUUUAAUAUAAUAUUAUGACUAUUAUAAUAUAAUUUUAUAAAAUAUAUUUGAAGACACUAUAAAUCUCAACUAAAUCAACUAUAAGCCUAAAAAGUAUGAUAUCGGUAAGCAAUUUGCUUUCGGGAAAUAAUGGAGUUCUUGGGCUUAACUCUACGUCUCCUUCCGAAUCGCUUCUCCGUUCUGCCGCCGUCUUCGCAUUCGAUCUCUACUUAUCCCUCUCUCUCUUGAUCGAUACGGCGAUGGCUCCGUUGUCGGCGCUAGUCCAGUACAAGCUGGGGUUCUUGGGCGAUCAGUCGGUGGAAAACCGGCAUCAUCACCAGAUUCAUGUACGACAAGUUCGACAAUGCCUAUCAGGUCGAUCGGUAUUCCUUUGAGACCCGCGUUUAUAUUUGUAUGUUUAUCAUAGAGAUCUUUUCUGUAUCUAGGUUCUUGAAUUGGAGAUUGGUCGACCUUGUUUAGGGUUACUUUGGUUCCGAUCAUGUACUGUUGGUCAUUUCUAAUUACACUGAGAUUCGAGUAGGAACGAUUUUGUUCUCUAAUAUUCCGUUCGAUGUUGUUCGACGGGAGUAUGCGAUCUGCCUCUCGGGUGGAUUGUUGUCGGCUAUUCUGAUCAUGGAUAGGAGUUACUGUUGCCACAGGAAUCUGUGUGCAAUAAGGAGGCAACAGGCUCCUGUCGCUGGUUUGACAGGAGGUCUGGCUGCAGUUGGCCUAUUGCUGGGCUGUUCUAAGCCCAUGCAAUUUGCUGGAUUUGGUCCAGAAUUUUGUAGGUGUUGUUGAAGCUGGUCUGGGAUGUUCUUUUUGCUGAUCUGAAUGGACUGUGGCCAUGUAUAUUAUAACGUGAAAACUUGCUAAAUUGAUUUGGCUGAUUUUUUUAAUAAUUAAAACUUGAUUACAAUUUGGAGUUCUUCGGGAACUGCAAUAAUAUUUAUUUCAUCUGACCUACAGAAGAUGAUUCAAUGGUCAACUGGUUGAUGUAAGUUUUGUCUUUCUGCAUGUGUGUCGUAAAUUGGCUUAUAUAGCGUUGUCAAUGGUUAUUCUUCAAGAAGAGAUUAGAAAAUGUGUAGUAGACAUAUAAUAGUUUAUACUUCCUUUUGAAAUUGUCCAGUCUUUAUCAUGCUUAGAUUACUAAGUUGAUUAACAGACUACAAGUGACAUAGAUUUUCUCUCAAAGACUAUGUAACUUGAAGACAGGACUGUCAGACUACAGAUUUGGUAGGUUACCACUGUAUUUCAAUCAUUCUUAUAAAUUGGGAAUGUUUUUGUUUUGAGAAGUGCCAUUUCAUUUCUGAUUCUUUGUUUGUUGGUUUACAUUCACUAGAUGCCCAUUGUGGUGUGACUAUUAUUGCCUAUCAGCAUUUUUUUAAUCCAACCUUUGUGCUAUAAAAGUUGUACUUAUUUGUCAUAAAUAUAAUUUUUCUUAAUAUCUGUUGAUAUGUACUAACUGAUACAUUAGCGUCCAUUAUUUGACUAAGAUUUGUCUGAGAUAGGAAUCAUACUUUGUUCUAUCAAAACAUUUUCCUGAUGCUUGGACUGAUGUCGAAGUGAUUUAACUGUUGCUGUAACUUCUUAUUUUCCAAAAUUUACCAGGAAUCUCUCUCUCUCUCUCAUUCUGAUAUUUAAUUCCUCGUGAAAAAAAUCUGGUAAUAGAGUUUUAUUUAAUUAUUUAAACUGGCCAAAACAUUGUGGAACGUUAAGGUUUUGGAAAUCCAAAAUUAAAGAAUUCGUGGGCAUUUUUUUCUGUUCUGCUGAGCACAUUGUUUGUAUUACAGGAACUUGCACGUUACGUUUACAGUAUUACAUUAGCUAUGAGCGGACUGUUGAAAACAUGUUGGCUGCUUGUUUCAUAUAGAGAAGAAAGCCGGGGCUCAGUUUUCUUUAAUUAUAGUAGGAUUUACAGACAUAAAGUACCUUAUCAUUAUGGUUUUGAAUCGAGACUCACCAUAUUUUGAACAGGCAACAGAAUAUUAAGACCAACUUUUAAGAAGAAUAUUGGUUAAAAGCUCAUAUGAACUUACUGAUACAGUAAGCAGGAAUUCCAAAAGAUACUUAAGUAUUCUGUUUUGUGCAGGUUCUUAAUGUAUGCUUUGAAGAUUUUUUUGCUGAGAGUUAUUAUCAGGGAAUUUUAAUCUACAUAGGGACAUAGCUGGUUAGGAGAGAUUUAGGAGCCUCUGAUUCCAAGCUACAUAAGGGACUCCUGUGUUGCUGUCAUUGUAUAUGAUGUUGCAAAUAUGUUUCUUUUGUAAAUUUAUGUGGAUUCUUGGUUUAUAUUCAAGAAAGUUUAUUUCUGAGAAACAAGUCCAGAAGACUACUUGCAACACUGCAGAAUCCAUUUAAAAUUUCACAUAGAAAAUUUUGUUUUCUUUAUUGUUUUAUCAGAUCAACUUCUUGUCAUGUGGUCUCUAAUUGAUUACAUUACUUCCAUUGCAGGCUGGCAAUCUUUCUUAACUACUUCAAAGUGGUUUGAAGAAGUUUGAACAGAGUGGGGAACUGAUGUUAUUAUCGUGCUUGUUGAGAACAAAACUGACCUUGUUGACAAAAGGUCUUAACGGAGGAAGGAGAAGCCAAGGCCAAAGAUCUUGGUUCAUGUUCAUUGAAACAAGUGCAGAAGCUGGCUUCGAUGUAAAAGUAUGUUUUUACACUCUGUGAUUCCUAUCUGUGGCUGAUUUUAUUUCUAGACAAACUUGAUAUCCUAGUCACUGCAGAUAUGCAUCCUGCAAUUGCACAUACUGUUGAAUUAAGUUUAGUUUAUAUCAGUUGGUUAAUUAAUUGCACUA